rnacentral:rRNA from 1 species
GACGAACGCUGGCGGCGUGCUUAACACAUGCAAGUCGAACGAAGAGCGAUGGAAGCUUGCUUCUAUCAAUCUUAGUGGCGAACGGGUGAGUAACGCGUAAUCAACCUGCCCUUCAGAGGGGGACAACAGUUGGAAACGACUGCUAAUACCGCAUACGAUCUAAUCUCGGCAUCGAGGAUAGAUGAAAGGUGGCCUCUACAUGUAAGCUAUCACUGAAGGAGGGGAUUGCGUCUGAUUAGCUAGUUGGAGGGGUAACGGCCCACCAAGGCGAUGAUCAGUAGCCGGUCUGAGAGGAUGAACGGCCACAUUGGGACUGCGACACGGCCCAGACUCCUACGGGAGGCAGCAGUGGGGAAUCUUCCGCAAUGGACGAAAGUCUGACGGAGCAACGCCGCGUGAGCGAUGACGGCCUUCGGGUUGUAAAGCUCUGUUAAUCGGGACGAAAGGCCUUCUUGCGAAUAGUGAGAAGGAUUGACGGUACCGGAAUAGAAAGCCACGGCUAACUACGUG